rnacentral:rRNA from 1 species
UACGAAGGGGGCUAGCGUUGUUCGGAAUCACUGGGCGUAAAGGGCGCGUAGGCGGCCGAUCAAGUCGGGGGUGAAAGCCUGUGGCUCAACCACAGAAUUGCCUCGAUACUGUUUGGCUUGAGACCGGAAGAGGUAAGUGGAACUGCGAGUGUAGAGGUGAAAUUCGUAGAUAUUCGCCAAGAACACCAGUGGCGAAGGCGGCUCACUGGCCCGGAACUGACGCUGAGACGCGAAAGCGUGGGGAGCAAACAGG